UCCCAGGCGUCGAGCGGCGGACGGGUGAGUAACGCGUAGGAAUCUACCCAGUAGCGGGGGAUAGCCCGGGGAAACCCGGAUUAAUACCGCAUACGCCCCACGGGGGAAAGGGGGGGGAUCUUUUCGGAGACCUCUCACUAUUGGAGGAGCCUGCGUUGGAUUAGCUAGUUGGUAGGGUAAAGGCCUACCAAGGCGACGAUCCAUAGCUGUUCUGAGAGGAAGAUCAGCCACACUGGAACUGAGACACGGUCCAG
rnacentral:rRNA from 1 species